GCCCGAUGUAAACACGAGAGGAGAAGGGACACGAAGGAGAAAUAUAUGUAAAUCGGAUAAAUUGGGAGAAGAAGAGACAUUGAUAGCCAGAGUGAUUGCGUAAAUUGAAGAAGUUGACUGGGAGAAAGACCUGCCGUAACAACCCAUCCGCUGGUUACACCUGAAAACCCUCUCCAAAAAUUGGCGGAUUCAUUGCAUAGUAUGGAUAGUACAGCCCUGAAAUGCUCAUGCCUUGAGAUAUACAAUGAGU